rnacentral:rRNA from 1 species
UGGGGAAUUUUGGACAAUGGGGCGAAAGCCUGAUCCAGCAAUGCCGCGUGUGUGAAGAAGGCCUUCGGGUUGUAAAGCACUUUUGUCCGGAAAGAAAUCCUUGGCUCUAAUACAGUCGGGGGAUGACGGUACCGGAAGAAUAAGCACCGGCUAACUACGUGCCAGCAGCCGCGGUAAUACGUAGGGUGCAAGCGUUAAUCGGAAUUACUGGGCGUAAAGCGUGCGCAGGCGGUUUGCUAAGACCGAUGUGAAAUCCCCGGGCUCAACCUGGGAACUGCAUUGGUGACUGGCAGGCUAGAGUAUGGCAGAGGGGGGUAGAAUUCCACGUGUAGCAGUGAAAUGCGUAGAGAUGUGGAGGAAUACCGAUGGCGAAGGCAGCCCCCUGGGCCAAUACUGACGCUCAUGCACGAAAGCGUGGGGAGCAAACAGGAUUAGAUACCCUGGUAGUCCACGCCCUAAAACGAUGUCAACUAGUUGUUGGGGAUUCAUUUCCUUAGUAACGUAGCUAACGCGUGAAGUUGACCGCCUGGGGAGUACGGUCGCAAGAUUAAAACUCAAAUGAAUUG